CAACAUUGGGACGGCCCAUUAACGUGUACCUCCUCGCAAUCCUCCACUCGCAUGCCCUCCUCGCAAUCCUCCCGACGUCCUCGCGCCACCGUCCUCUUCUCCUCGAUCUCCUCUACCAGGGCGCCCUCCUCGUGACCCUGGCGCUGGCCGACGUCGGCGACUCCGCUCUGCUCCUCCGCGGACUCACGCUCUGCCACCGCCGAGGAGACGGCUUGAGGAAGAUCCCUUGGACCGAGUGCCUGAUCUCGGAUCUGGUGCUCGUGGGGUGGCGGGAUUGAAAGUAUGGAUCUUGGGGACGGGCAGAUGACGUUCGUCGUGUUAGGAAGAUGAGUAUGUAACUCGUGGAGUCUGAGCUGUUGCGUGGCGACGCUCGAGUGCAGCGUUCAGAUGGAAGGGGCCGCGACCUUGAUGGGUUGGGGCUCGCCUCCCGCGCUCCUCUUCGUCAUGUACAACAACCAUGGCGGCCCUAUGUGUCGAACCGUCCCGACAACGACGCUGCAGCCUGCUGACUCUACGUGUAGGACUGCCUGACUCAACCUCUAUCUCAAUGUUAACUCAAUGCCCAACAAUGUCGUCAAUUGUCAGCAAGCAGUUACUCCAAAUUCCAUUGCCCAAACGCCAUAUAUAUGUACCUUGAGUACAAGAGAUAAGAGACCAUGGAUGCAAAAGUCAUAAAAUUAGGAACCUGAAGGGAAAAUGGAAGGCACCUUUGAUCGACAUUCAGCCUAGAAAACAAAAACAAAACAGUGGGGCUGAAACAUAUGGUUUUUUGAUUUAUGAUGGUGCAGAUCUUGGAAACAAUUCAACUGGGCACCACGGCGCUGAAUUGAAGUACAACUUCUUGCCGGAAAGUUCUUAUAUAUGAUCUCUAGAAUCUCGACAACAAAAAUGGACCAUCUUGCGUCUUACUCAAGUCAGUUACAACAAUCAGAAGUUGUGAUGGAUAUGAGUCUUGUUUACGCUUUAGAGUAAAUGCACGAAGAACUGAUGAAUGAGAAGAUAUUUUCAGAGAACCAUCGAUGCUACGUGCAAUGCUGGUUUGAUAAUUUUUCGCAUGUCUCGUGCAUGACAGCAGCGCAUUCAUCGGCCUCCACUUGUGCGCCAAUCUAUGAUGCCUGCGCCCGCGGUGUCAGGUCACGCUCUGCUGCAAUUGUGCAUGCCGCCUCUACGCGACCCCAUCAAGGAAUACAGCCCAGCUGAGAUUUUUCAUAUCAUCUCUGCCAUGUCGUCAUCGUUGCAAGAGAUCUGAAAACAAAAACAAAACAGUGGAGCUGAAACAGAUGGUUUGUUGAUUUAUGAUGGUGCAGAUCUUGGAAACAAUUCAACUGGGCACCACGGCGCUGAAUUGAAGUACAACUUCUUGCCGGAAAGUUCUUAUAUAUGAUCUCUAGAAUCUCGACAACAAAAAUGGACCAUCUUGCGUCUUACUCAAGUCAGUUACAACAAUCAGAAGUUGUGAUGGAUAUGAGUCUUGUUUACGCUUUAGAGUAAAUGCACGAAGAACUGAUGAAUGAGAAGAUAUUUUCAGAGAACCAUCGAUGCUACGUGCAAUGCUGGUUUGAUAAUUUUUCGCAUGUCUCGUGCAUGACAGCAGCGCAUUCAUCGGCCUCCACUUGUGCGCCAAUCUAUGAUGCCUGCGCCCGCGGUGUCAGGUCACGCUCUGCUGCAAUUGUGCAUGCCGCCUCUACGCGACCCCAUCAAGGAAUACAGCCCAGCUGAGAUUUUUCAUAUCAUCUCUGCCAUGUCGUCAUCGUUGCAAGAGAUCUGAAAACAAAAACAAAACAGUGGAGCUGAAACAGAUGGUUUGUUGAUUUAUGAUGGUGCAGAUCUUGGAAACAAUUCAACUGGGCACCACGGCGCUGAAUUGAAGUACAACUUAUUGCCGGAAAGUUCUUAUAUCUGAUCUCUAGAAUCUCGACAACAAAAAUGGACCAUCUUGCGUCUUACUCCAGUCAGUUACAACAAUCAGAAGUUGUGAUGGAUAUGAGUCUUGUUUAUGCAUUAGAGUAAAUGCACGAAGAACUGAUGAAUGAGAAGAUAUUUUCAGAGAACCAUCGAUGCUACGUGCAAUGCUGGUUUGAUAAUUUUCGCAUGUCUCGUGCAUGACACCAGCGCAUUCAUCGGCCUCCACUUGUGCGCCAAUCUAUGAUGCCUGCGCCCACGGUGUCAGGUCACGCUCUGCUGCAAUUGUGCAUGCCGCCUCUACGCAGCCCCAUCAAGGAAUACAGCCCAGCUGAGAUUUUUCAUAUCAUCUCUGCCAUGGCGUCAUCGUUGCAAGAGAUUCAUGUAAAGAUUAUCCCUGUUUUCUAUGCUAUAUUAAGUUACUAAGGUGAUGUCCUCCUAGCCUUGAGCAUGUUCAUCUGACUAAUCUUUGCUACUACAUUUCUUAGCUAAUGUCCUCUGCCUAGAUCAUGUUCAUCUUAUUAACAAAGGCUUGGCCAUCUUGUAAUAGUAGCUAGUGAAUUGGAUAUAUAUUACUCCAGUUUGCAUGGGAACAACCGCUUAUACCGUUAUAUGUAUGCCUCGAUAGUAUAGUGGGAUUGCUUGGAUUAUUUCUGUAGUACUUUGUCCAGUUUCUCAACUUUUUAAGAGGCUUUCAAUAAUCAAAUAAAUCAUGUGCCCUUGGCUUGAUCAAAUGUAUGGUUCGCUAAUUUAUUUUUGAAGUGCGUUCCUCCUACUAUCUUAUUAUUCCAUAGCUAAUUACAUUUUGGAAUCUGAUGGAUGCGAAGGACUUUCACAAUAAGAAAGUGCUAACCUUUUGGUAGGGAAAACAUAAAAACAAAAAAGGAAAUUAUUUAGGUGCGUGAUGUUGGCCAAUAAGCCAUGGCGACUGCCUCAGGUACGCGUGCAUGCGCGCGUCGGGUGCGGUCCCCGUCCCUCUUGCGCGGCGGUGGCACAGAUGUAGGGCUACGGUGGCGGGUUCAUAUGUAGGGCAGCGGCAGCGGGUACAACCGUCUUAGGGAGAUCCUCUUCUCAUAUCAUGCCCUAGUUGUUACUCCUCCAUUGGCUCGCCUCUCACCAUCUAUUCUACAAUAGCGUGGUGGCUGCGGGAACAGGUGCAACACGAUGAUCUAUGGGUGCACCGGCUCUAGGAUGACCAUGGGCUUGAUAGCUGGGUCCGACAUCCCUGUGGCGAUCAGAGAUGGUGGUGUAUGGAAGUGGCCCGUGGUGGGCAGGGAACAAUGUGGCCCUGUUGUUGUCCUCCUUGUUCAGCUUGACAUGACCGUCGUUCAGCUUGACAUGACUGUCGUUCAGCUGAAAACAAGAUUACAUGAGGACGAUUAAACUGGAGCAUAAAUGCACAAUACAUCUGCAAUGUGAUUUUUCUAAAUGGAAUUAAUUUUGUGCAGCUUGCAUCCCUUCUGUUAGUAGUUUGUAAAUAACAUGAAUCCAGUUUUAUACAGAAGCAAGUGAUAGGCGAGUGGAGAAAGACAGUUCGCCCACUAAUAUGGCACUGUCGAACAUAAGAAUUGCAUAUGAAGGAUAUUUCAUCGCAAAUAGCACAGUAUGAAAUGGACUUGCUUUAAUUAGUCUCGAAAAAGAUCUGCACCCAGUGAUUAAAGAAGAUAGUUCUGAUCCAGAAUUAGCACAACUGACUAUCCAAAGCCACCUACACAUUUUGCACUGAGCUUGUACUGAUACUUGGCAGUAAUGACGUGUAUCCUUUUGCAGAAAACAAAAACAAAACAGUGGGGCUGAAACAUAUGGUUUUUUGAUUUAUGAUGGUGCAGAUCUUGGAAACAAUUCAACUGGGCACCAUGGCGCUGAAUUGAAGUACAACUUCUUGCCGGAAAGCUCUUAUAUAUGAUCUCUUGAAUCUCGACAACAAAAAUGGACCAUCUUGCGUCUUACUCCAGUCAGUUACAACAAUCAGAAAUUGUGAUGGAUAUGAGUCUUGUUUACGCAUUAGAGUAAAUGCACGCGCAUUCAUCGGCCUCCACUUGUGCGCCAAUCUAUGAUGCCUGCGCUCGCGGUGUCAGGUCACGCUCUGCUGCAAUUGUGCAUGCUGCCUCUACGCGGCCCCAUCAAGGAAUACAGCCCAGCUGAGAUUUUUCAUAUCAUCUCUACCAUGGAGGCAUCGUUGCAAGAGAUUCAGGUAAAGAUUAUCCCUGUUUUCUAUGCUAUAUUAAGUUACUAAGGUGAUGUCCUCCUAGCCUUGAGCAUGUUCAUCUGACUAAUCUUUGCUACUACAUUUCUUAGCUAAUGUCCUCUGCCUGGAUCAUGUUCAUCUUAUUAACAAAGGCUUGGCCAUCUUGUAUUUGUAGCUGGUGAAUUGGAUAUAUAUUACUCCAGUUUGCAUGAGAACAACCGCUUAUACCGUUCUACGUAUGCCUCGAUAGUAUAGUAGGGUUGCUUGGAUUAUUUCUAUAGUACGUUGUCCAGUUUCUCAACUUUUUAAGAGGCUUGCACUGAUCAAAGAAAUCAUGCGCCCUUGGCUUGAUCAAAUGUAUGGUUCGCUAAUUUAUUUUUGAAGUGCGUUCCUCCUACUAUCUUAUUAUUCCAUAGCUAAUUACAUUUUGGAAUCUGAUGGGUGCGAAGUACUUUCACAAUAAGAAAGUGCUAAACUUUUGGCAGGGAAAACAUAAAAACAAAAAGGAAAUUAUUUAAGUGCGUGAUGUUGGCCAAUAAGCCACGACGACUGCAUCAGGUAUGCUUGCAUGCACGCGCCGGGCGCGUCGGGUGCGGUCCGGGCCGUGUCGGGUCCGUGUCAGGCAUGCCUGUGUGCUUGUGUGAGUGUGUGUUUUGAAGUGCCUUUUGAGGAUAACAUUUUUAUGCUCUUGGAAAUCAAGAGCUAAGUUUUGGUGUACUGGAUACUAAGAACCCAUUGUCAACUAUCUUGCGGUGAAGUGUUGAAUACUGUGUGGAGGUUAGUGUUGAAAAAGAUGAGUUCAUUUGUGAGUGCAGUAAUUUUGACCACUCUGGUUUGUUGCGCAGCCACGUGCCAAAGGUAUUACUAAUGCUAUGUUGUGAUUAUCUUGUUCAGUUAAGCAUGAGACUUCGAAAUAUUUGUGUGUGUUUUUAGAAAAGGAGGCUUGCCCUCGGCAAAAAGAUAUCUUUGUGUAGUUAUGAUUUUUUUCCUUAUCCUGCAUGCUUCUGCUUUCCUUUAGAAGAAAUUCAAACACUGUCGCCGAUGUUGCUCUUAGGUAGUGGUGCAUCCGGAUGUUGUCAAAAUCUCUCCCAAACCUGUAAUGAAGUGCUCGACAAAGGAUGCUAGCGCUAUAUUGCCUGCUGAAUUUUUCUGAUACCAAAAGGACUAGAGCCAACCAAAGUCAUCAACAUAUAUACACCCAAACCUGCACCUUAUGGAUAUGGGGAUUGUCAAACUCGGUGUCACGAAUGUUGAAGGUUGUACAAUGGCAACGGAUAAGCUGAAGGAGCUUAGAGAAGACCUUGGAACAUAUAUAUGCUACAGUAUAACUGAUGGGGUGGGUUAUGGAAUAUAGAUUAAAGGGUGCCGAUUUUAUGAUUGUACCGACUGAAGUUUUUUCAGGUGGUGUGAUACGUCUCUAACAUAUCUAUAAUUUUUUAUUGCUCCAUGCUA